GUCUGCGAUCACAGCACGUUGAAAGCUCUACAUCCCGCCUGAUCUGCGAAGUUAAGCAACGUUGAGCUGACGCCACAACCAGAAUCAGAAACGGUCUGAGAACAUGCGGCGUUGUAGAAA
rfam:Trichinella zimbabwensis scaffold3s, whole genome shotgun sequence.